rnacentral:misc_RNA from 1 species
GAUGAAGAACGUAGCGAAAUGCGAUACGUAAUGUGAAUUGCAGAAUUCAGUGAAUCAUCGAAUCUUUGAACGCAUAUUGCGCUCUCUGGUAUUCCGGAGAGCAUGCUUGUUUGAGUAUCAGUAAACACCUCAACUUCCAUAUCUUUUUUGAAAUGGGAGUUGGACUUGAGUGAUCCCAACGCUUUUCCUCACCGAAAAGUGGCGGGUUACUUGAAAUGCAGGUGCAGCUGGACUUUUCUCUGAGCUAUAAGCAUAUCUAUUUAGUCUGCCUAAAAAACAGAUUAUUACCUUUACUGCAGCUAACAUAAAGGAGAUUAGUUCUUGUGCUGACUGAUGCAGGAUUCACAAAGACAGGCUUCGGCCGACUUUGUAAACUCGAUCUCAAAUCAAGUAAGACUACCCGCUGAACUUAAGCAUAUCAAUAAGCGGAGGA